rnacentral:rRNA from 1 species
UGAACGCUGGCGGCAUGCCUUACACAUGCAAGUCGAACGGCAGCACGGGAGCAAUCCUGGUGGCGAGUGGCGGAACGGGGUGAGUAAUAUAUCGGAACGUGCCCAGUCGUGGGGGAUAACGCAGCGAAAGCUGUGCUAAUACCGCAUACGAUCUACGGAUGAAAGCGGGGGAUCGCAAGACCUCGCGCGACUGGAGCGGCCGAUAUCAGAUUAGCUAGUUGGUGGGGUAAAGGCUCACCAAGGCGACGAUCUGUAGCUGGUCUGAGAGGACGACCAGCCACACUGGAACUGAGACACGGUCCAGACUCCUACGGGAGGCAGCAGUGGGGAAUUUUGGACAAUGGGCGCAAGCCUGAUCCAGCAAUGCCGCGUGCAGGAU